GGCAAUGGGGGCAGAGAGGCAGGCAAGUCUGGGCUCCGCCAGGGAGCUCCAGGCCUGGCGCGCGGCUGUGGGUGCCACGCGGGGACUGGGGUGCAGUGGAGACUGUCCGCGCGCGGCUCCAACUCGAGAGCGAGGGUCGCUCGGAAAACCACAGAUGAUGGUGCUGGAUCAUCGCUAGUUAAAGUGCUAGAUAUGCCCAAGGUCGCAUGGCCUAAGAAAAACUGCUCUCCCUUCCAAGGACCCAGCAGUCUUUAGACCAGCUCAAGUCUCCGUCCUGAAACUCGAGUCCGAGUUUCACUGCUCUGGAAACACUCAGCAACAAACACCAGCCCCUCACGACAGAGUCGCAGCUUACUCUCUGGAUCCACAGUCGCAGCUUACUCUCUGGAUCCACGAUGCUCAGGACUUUCUUUAGCACCAGUGAAUGGCUGGCACUCAGGCCUGAGUUCCAGCAAGUACCCCGGGCAGUGGCUGCACCACUGUAACAGACGGAAUUGAUGGGAAAAUGCCUACUUCCCCAAGGGACCUGAGUGGCUCUUGCUGCCCUGUCUGCGCCCUGGGAGUUGUCUUCAGGGUCCCUCAGAAGCCCUCACAAUCUACAACUACAAGAGGAACUCUUGCUUCAGCAAGGCAUAUCUGAGGCUUUUCUCUGGAAUUUAUGCCAGUGGCCAUCCUGAGUGGCCCGGGGAGUGGUUGGACAGCUGGGUGGAUUUUGGAGUCUCAAUCCUGGAGAGCAAGUCUUGAUUCUUGUUCUCCACACGUCACCGGAAAGCGUCCAGGCUCAGCGCACUUCUCCGUUCCUCGCUGCUUCUUACCUUACUUCCGAUCACGAGCUCCCUUCUGUUUUGAAUUCCUUGGAGCCUGUCUCCCUUCAUUGGACAUACAACUGCAUGCAAUCUCAGUUUUGAUACAACUUUCCCAGCCUGUGAUGUAUAUUUCUCUAGUUUUCUUUGAAACCCCCAGUGUGAAACAUAUCUAAUACAACGUUUUGUACUCUUCAUGACACAUAGCUGUCGGGGAUUCAAAUCACAAGAUAGAAUGUAAUAUGCCCCGGGGAGUGGGUGGACCCCAUAUACCCUUGAAACAGAAGGAUGUUGCUGAGAUGGUCCAGUGCCUUACCCUGUCACUCAGAUGCUCAGUCAGAAAAUAAAAGCUCUGGUUGAACUGGC
rnacentral:lncRNA from 1 species